rnacentral:rRNA from 1 species
UAUUCAUUCGAAUAUACAUUUCAAACCCCUUGUCUAAACUACCUGUUGCUUCCGGCUGUUUGGGCUGUACAGUUAGCUGAAUAGCCUGGCCGGAAGGUUAACAUAAAAUAUUGUAUUUAGAGUCUUCUGAAUUUUUAAAAUAAAAGUUAAAACUUUCAACAACGGAUCUCUUGGUUCUCGCAUCGAUGAAGAACGCAGCGAAAUGCGAUAAGUAGUGUGAAUUGCAGAAUUCAGUGAAUCAUCGAAUCUUUGAACGCACAUUGCGCCUUCCGGUAUUCCGGGAGGCAUGCCUGUCCGAGCGUCAUCAAAAACCACUCAAGUAGUUUUGCUUGGUCAUGAAAGAAGAGUUUGCUUGCGAAUUCCCUUUCGAAAUUCAAUGGCGGAGAGUCUCAUGAUUUCGGCGUAGUAAUAACUUAUUCGCUUGGUCAUUGUAACAAUCCUGCCACAAACCCCCAAUUCUAGUGUUUGACCUCGGAUCAGGUAGGGAUACCCGCUGAACUUAAGCAUAUCAAUAAG